rnacentral:rRNA from 1 species
UACGUAAGGGGCGAGCGUUGUUCGGAUUUACUGGGCGUAAAGGGUGUCUAGGCGGCACGUCAAGUCGGAAGUGAAAUCCCACGGCUCACCCGUGGAACUGCUUUCGAAACUGGCGAGCUCGAGUGCGGGAGAGGAGAGCGGAAUUCCCGGUGUAGCGGUGGAAUGCGUAGAUAUCGGGAAGAACACUCGUGGCGAAGGCGGCUCUCUGGACCGUUACUGACGCUGAAGCACGAAAGCCAGGGGAGCGAACGGGAUUAGAUACCCGCGUA